CCGAGGUGAAAGGGUGGAUCCAGGUUCCAGUGUCACAUCACCGUCCUGCGUGGCUCGGUCUGGGUGAAGGGACCGAGCGAAGCACAGAUGUCCAAGGGCUGGAAGAGGGAAAAGAACAGGGAAACGUGGGAAGAAGACAAAGACAGCGUGGAGACUGGUGAUGGGGGAAGAGGACUCCACCUCCUCAGGGAAGGAUGGGCCAGGCACACUGCGGCGGGUGCGUGCGUGACGGUGGAGCAGGGGCUGGAAUUACUGUCUUAGAGAAAACGAGCCGAACUCUGCACCGUCUGGAGUCACGGGCAGGGCUUCGUGGAGAAAUGAUUCAUUUCAGGCUGAGGAGCAGGAAAUGUGCAAGAGGAGCCUGCCGCUGCCACACCAGAAGGCAAGGAGCCGGUCAAAGACCAGGGGUGGCGUCCAGAGGGAACACUGAGCACAGCAGGGCUAAAGCCGCCCUGGACGGGGACACAGCAAAUGUGCUUCCACUCGAAUAGGAGCUCGUAGUGCGAGUUCAACGACUAAGAAAAUUGGUCACCGUUGGAGGGUACAGUGAACCAAUUCACUGAGUUCGAAACAGCUCAUUAUGUGAACACGAGUAAAUAAA